rnacentral:rRNA from 1 species
GUGGGGAAUUUUGGACAAUGGGCGCAAGCCUGAUCCAGCAAUGCCGCGUGCAGGAUGAAGGCCUUCGGGUUGUAAACUGCUUUUGUACGGAACGAAACGGCCCUUUCUAAUACAGGGGGUUAAUGACGGUACCGUAAGAAUAAGCACCGGCUAACUACGUGCCAGCAGCCGCGGUAAUACGUAGGGUGCGAGCGUUAAUCGGAAUUACUGGGCGUAAAGCGUGCGCAGGCGGUUAUGUAAGACAGAUGUGAAAUCCCCGGGCUCAACCUGGGACCUGCAUUUGUGACUGCAUAGCUAGAGUACGGUAGAGGGGGAUGGAAUUCCGCGUGUAGCAGUGAAAUGCGUAGAUAUGCGGAGGAACACCGAUGGCGAAGGCAAUCCCCUGGACCUGUACUGACGCUCAUGCACGAAAGCGUGGGGAGCAAACAGGAUUAGAUACCCCGGUAGUCC